rnacentral:pre_miRNA from 1 species
ACAACAUCCGGACCGUCGGUCUACCGAGCAAUCUCACCCGCUCAGUGGUAGAUCUUUCGUUUGUCGU